rnacentral:rRNA from 1 species
UGGGGAAUAUUGGACAAUGGGCGAAAGCCUGAUCCAGCCAUGCCGCGUGUGUGAAGAAGGUCUUCGGAUUGUAAAGCACUUUAAGUUGGGAGGACGGGCAGUAAGCGAAUACCUUGCUGUUUUGACGUUACCGACAGAAUAAGCACCGGCUAACUCUGUGCCAGCAGCCGCGGUAAUACAGAGGGUGCAAGCGUUAAUCGGAAUUAUUGGGCGUAAAGCGCGCGUAGGUGGUUCGUUAAGUUGAAUGUGAAAGCCCCGGGCUCAACCUGGGAACUGCAUCCAAAAAUGGCGAGGUGGAGUAGGGCAGAGGGUGGUGGAAUUUCCUGUGUAGCGGUGAAAUGCCUAGAUAUAGGAAGGAACACCAGUGGCGAAGGCGACCACCUGGGCUAAUACUGACACUGAGGUGCGAAAGAGGGGGGAGCAAACAGG